UACGUAGGGGGCAAGCGUUGUCCGGAAUCAUUGGGCGUAAAGCGCGUGUAGGCGGCUUGGUAAGUCCGCUCUGAAAGCCCGGGGCUCAACCCCGGGAGGCGGGUGGAUACUGUCAAGCUCGAGUCCGGAAGAGGCGAGUGGAAUUCCUGGUGUAGCGGUGAAAUGCGCAGAUAUCAGGAGGAACACCAAUGGCGAAGGCAGCUCGCUGGGACGUGACUGACGCUGAGACGCGAAAGCGCGGGGAGCGAACAGG
rnacentral:rRNA from 1 species